UUUUUUAAUUGUGUGCUUUGUGCCUUAGUUCCUCAAAUAGGGGGUUUACUAUUUGGGGCUUUUCUUCACUGACAAGGUUUGAAGCAUUUUAAAUUUUUGUUUACAUUUUAGCUCCAUCUGUCGUUCAGUUAUUCCUCCCUUCCAUAGAAAGAACUCUCCAGAAAAAAAUGUCUCCCAAAAUCAUAUGCUCAAAACCCUCCUGACAAUUAGAACCAGGCUUCAGAUUUUCAGUCAGAGGACCACUAGCACCUCUGUCACGAAGAGAGCUCUUUGCCGGGCUCUGAGCCCCAAUCACUACCUCAUUGGCAGCCUCAAAAUCCGGUCUAAGCUCUUUCAGGCCUUUCCAUUGGAGACAUCCUGGUGUAUAUUGUAGCUCCAGAGUCAAGGCUGUUGGCUGGGCCAGGAUACUCUGAAUUCCUUCAUUGUCGUCUGUCAGCUAGAACCCAUUUCCAGUUGGUUCCUGUGUACAUUUCUUUGCGGGCCAAGAAGUGGCCUAUGGGUGGCACAAGCUGGGCAUCAAUGACAUUACCUGUGGGGUGUAUUUGAAGCCUCUGACUCUUUUCUACAGCUCCUUUGCUCUGUGAUGUCCAUACAGGGUGGUAGGAAGGGAUCUAAGUCUCUUUUUUGCCAGACCCAGGCAGAGCCUUUACCUGAACCACAGACACGUCCCAGCGUCCCAGCUUCCAGAGCAGCCCCGCCCUUCCUGCCUUCCUCAGCUCCGCCCCCACCCAAACAGCAAAUCAGAGGCUCUGUUCAAGGUGCGUCACAAAGGUAUUAAUUGCCCCGCCCUCCACAGUUCUGCCUAGAAAGCGGUGUCCCCAUGGUGAGCAGAGUUGUGCUGCUUUUCCUGCAGGAAGUGGUCUCACACAGGGAGAUCCUAGCACAGAUACCCUAGGAACAGGUGAGGAAAAUGACCACGUACAAAACUUUAAUCACAGCAAAAUCUACACGAGCCUAGGAAACGGCCCUGGAUUGUUCCUGACAAACAUCCUGUGAAAACCUGGUUCAGGAAAAACUCACUUUCAUACAUUGAGUUAGGUGAAAGGAACCAGCAAAGGAUCUCUCUGAAGACACUGCACACCUAGGAAGUGAAGGAAACACAGAUGGAUGAGUCAGAGCAUUACUGCAAGAUAUUUCCACAAGGAUUUUAAAAAGCAGGAUAAGGCAUUCAUCAAAUGAUGCCCAUUGAUAAAGCCAUCACUUCUGCAAACCAAA